rnacentral:rRNA from 1 species
CAUAGGGGCGGUCAAUAUACAUGCAAGUCGAGCGGACAGAAGGGAGCUUGCUCCCGGAUGUUAGCGGCGGACGGGUGAGUAACACGUGGGUAACCUGCCUGUAAGACUGGGAUAACUCCGGGAAACCGGAGCUAAUACCGGAUAGUUCCUUGAACCGCAUGGUUCAAGGAUGAAAGACGGUUUCGGCUGUCACUUACAGAUGGACCCGCGGCGCAUUAGCUAGUUGGUGAGGUAACGGCUCACCAAGGCGACGAUGCGUAGCCGACCUGAGAGGGUGAUCGGCCACACUGGGACUGAGACACGGCCCAGACUCCUACGGGAGGCAGCAGUAGGGAAUCUUCCGCAAUGGACGAAAGUCUGACGGAGCAACGCCGCGUGAGUGAUGAAGGUUUUCGGAUCGUAAAGCUCUGUUGUUAGGGAAGAACAAGUGCAAGAGUAACUGCUUGCACCUUGACGGUACCUAACCAGAAAGCCACGGCUAACUACGUGCCAGCAGCCGCGGUAAUACGUAGGUGGCAAGCGUUGUCCGGAAUUAUUGGGCGUAAAGGGCUCGCUUUUGGUUUCUUAAGUCUGAUGUGAAAGCCCCCGGCUCAACCGGGGAGGGUCAUUGGAAACUGGGAAACUUGAGUGCAGAAGAGGAGAGUGGAAUUCCACGUGUAGCGGUGAAAUGCGUAGAGAUGUGGAGGAACACCAGUGGCGAAGGCGACUCUCUGGUCUGUAACUGACGCUGAGGAGCGAAAGCGUGGGGAGCGAACAGGAUUAGAUACCCUGGUAGUCCACGCCGUAAACGAUGAGUGCUAAGUGUUAGGGGGUUUCCGCCCCUUAGUGCUGCAGCUAACGCAUUAAGCACUCCGCCUGGGGAGUACGGGUCGCAAGACUGAAACUCAAGGAAUUGACGGGGGCCCGCCACAAGCGGUGGAGCAUGUGGUUUAAUUCGAAGCAACGCGAAGAAACUUUAACCAGGUCUUGACAUCCUCUGACAACCCUAGAGAAUAGGUCUUUCCUUUCGGGGACAGAGUGACAAGGUGCUGCAUGCUUGUCGUCAGCUCCUUGCUCGAGAGCAUGAUGGGAUUAAGUCACACCAACCCAAGGCGCCACCCUUGAUCCUAAGUUGCCAAGCCAAGCUGGCAACUCAAAGUGAACUUGCCGUGUGACCAACCGGAGAAGUAGAGUAAUAUGACUCGCU